GACGAACGCUGGCGGCGUGCUUAACACAUGCAAGUCGAACGGAAAGGCCCUGCUUUUGUGGGGUGCUCGAGUGGCGAACGGGUGAGUAACACGUGAGUAACCUGCCCUUGACUUUGGGAUAACUUCAGGAAACUGGGGCUAAUACCGGAUAGGAGCUCCUGCUGCAUGGUGGGGGUUGGAAAGUUUCGGCGGUUGGGGAUGGACUCGCGGCUUAUCAGCUUGUUGGUGGGGUAGUGGCUUACCAAGGCUUUGACGGGUAGCCGGCCUGAGAGGGUGACCGGCCACAUUGGGACUGAGAUACGGCCAAGACGCCUCCGGGAGGCAGCAGUGGGGAAUAUUGCACAAUGGGCGGAAGCCUGAUGCAGAAACGCCGCGUGCGGGAUGACGGCCCUCGGGUUGUAAACCGCUUUCGCCUGUGACGAAGCGUGAGUGACGGUAAUGGGUAAAGAAGCACCGGCUAACUACGUG
rnacentral:rRNA from 1 species